CUAACACAUGGUCAAGGAAUGCAGCACAACAAUGGAGCAUAGAUAGGCUGGAUGGGCCCUCUUGUUUUUAUGAUAGAGAAAAAAAAAUACAUUUUCUACCAACAGCCUGGCAACUUGGCCUCAUCGGUGACAUGCGGAACUUAUGCCAUUCAAGGCUGCUGCGUCUUUGACAUGGACAAACCACAGAAGGACGACCGAGCUGACCAGAAGACGGCCAACUCUAGAACGAAUUCUGGAAAGCAGCCGGUCACUGCCUGUCUGUUGAAUACGGCCUUCUUCAGUGCCCUGGGGUCAUCUUUCCUUUACGGCUACAACCUGUCUGUGGUCAACGCUCCUGCUCUGUUCAUCAAAAAUUUCUACAAUAAGACAUGGAUGGAGCGAUACGGCGAGCCUGUUGGAGCAGAGACGGCCACGCUCCUCUGGUCCAUGACAGUGUCCAUAUUUGCUAUCGGAGGCCUCAUGGGAACGCUGUCCGUCUCUUUAAUCAUCAACGUGUUGGGAAGAAGGGGAACCUUGAUGCUGAAUAACAGCUUUGCUGUUAUAGCUGCGCUGCUGCUGUCCCUGGGUGAGAAGGCAAAAUCCUUUGAGAUGCUCAUCGCUGGCCGUCUCAUAAUCGGGGUGGACUCCGGCAUCGCGCUCAGUGUCCUCCCAAUGUACCUGGGAGAAAUUUCCCCGAGAUACAUCAGAGGGUUCAUUGGCCAGUUCAACGCCAUCCUGAUCUGCCUGGGAGUGUUCACAGGACAAGUGCUGGGGCUGCCCGAGCUGCUGGGCCAGGAGUCCAGGUGGAACUACCUGUUUUCCUUCCUGGCCUUACCGGCAUUGCUUCAGCUCUGUGUGCUGUCGUUCCUUCCCGAGAGUCCUCGCUUCCUGCUGAUCCAGAGGAGGGAUGAGGCCGGGGCAGAGAGAGCCUUCCAAAGGUUUUUGGGGAAGGAGGAUGUGUCCCAGGAGCUCGAAGAAGUCCGAGGGGAGGCUCAAGCUCAGGGAAGCCUGGACUCCAUCUCUGUGUUACAGCUGAUGAGGACCCCAGCUGUUCGCUGGCAGCUCAUCACCAUCAUCAUCACCAUGGCCUGCUAUCAGCUCUGUGGCCUCAACACCAUCUGGUACUACACCAACGGGAUCCUUCGGGAAGCCGGCUUUGCCGAGAACAUCCUCCCCUACAUCACACUGAGCACCGGGGCUAUAGAGACAUUGGCGGCCAUUAUGUCAGGCUUGGUGAUCGAACGAAUCGGAAGGAAGCCCCUCCUCAUAUUCGGGUUCUCCGCCAUGGCCUUCUUCUUCAGCCUCCUCACGGUGUUCCUUAAUUUACAGAACAGCGUGUCAUGGAUGCCCUACCUCAGUUACAUGUGUAUACUGGCUGUUAUUGCAUCCUUUUGCUCUGGUCCAGGUGGCAUCCCCUUCAUCCUGACCGGGGAGCUGUUUCAACAGUCCUAUCACCCUGCUGCCUUCAUGAUCGCCGGCACCGUGAAUUGGCUGUCCAACUUUGCUGUGGGCCUCCUGUUCCCAUUCAUUCAAGGGACUUUCUUCAAACCAGCGACAAGGGGAGUUCUCCCGAGCAUCAUGGCAGAAGGCGCGACGGUCAGAUGACCUCCGCCUGCCAUGUCACGAUGACAGGUGGCGUCAAUACAAAAUGCUGAAAUGGCACUGCAUAUCACCGCACGUCUGCAGACAGAGCUCGGUGGCCCAGUGUUAUGCACCGCGCUGCAGGAUGAAAAGCCUAUUAGGAGACUCUCUCCGAGUUAAUUCGGCCCCGCUGCUCCCCGCGCCGCUAUAAUGAGAAGUGCCUCUUCACUUAACCUCAGAGAAACGCUGACACAGGCAGCUCUCGAGCCUCGCCGGGGACCGUUUCAGCUCUGAAAUGGGCGUUCUUUGAAACCUGGCAAAACUUCUGUGAAAACUUAAAGGGUGCUUGGCUGAAACUUUUUUUCCACACCGACAGGAACUGUCGCCGCAUAAGCAGCUCCCCGCAGUGUGCGGUGGGAACAACUUCUUUUUUCUUCCGGCAAAAUGUCUCUUUAAUAUGCCACCUGUCUUGAUGAGCUUUAACGAGAUUUUUUAUUUGUAUUUGUAUUUUUUUUUUUUAGGAGCACACGCAGCGAAAAGCAAACACAAGUCUUUAUUGUCUCUGUUGCCGGAGCUCUCAGGCUGCAGGGUGUUUGUUUUAAAGUCCACAGGAGGAAAUCUUUUUACUGGGGCGUCUCUGGAGAGUCUGUGGCCGCAAUGAAUAAUAGAUGAACUGUAUUUCUGGCUUUGUUCGGAUGGAAAGAUAGCAGCAAUUACAUGGGCCUCUGCGGCGGAGGGUAGAAGAGAAGCUAACUUUUGCUAAUAAUAGCUCGGGAGACGAUGCAGUAUGUCAAAAUCCCCCGCCCCCAAAAAAGGAAACGUGUUGGCAAAACAUGGCAAACAUUUGAUUAUCAACCAUUAAAAAUCUAUGUAUAUAGACCAGAUGUGGAAGCAAACGUGAGGACUUCCCAGAGUGCACAGUAAUCCCCAGUGAUGAGCUGGAUAACAAAUGGAUACUGUCAUUGAUCUACAUUUGACUGACGAGUCCAGUUUGUGUAAAGAUCCUUCAGUGGAGAGAAGGAGGGACGGUCUCUUUCAGGGAUACAGAGGCGACUCUUGCUCAACCAGCCAGUCAGAGCUCUGCAGCUGAGGAUGAGGGGGAGAAUGGAAAGUAGCGGACAAUUAACCUCUGACUUUCUUUAGAAGGGAAUGACGUGUUGAAGUGAAACGCCGCGAGCGAAUGCUGUCGACUGUCUGCGAGAUGGUGAAUGAAAGGAGAGCUCAGCUGUCAGGAGAUUAAGAGACAGAUAUUUAGAACUGACUAACCAAGCGUCCGGUUCUCCUCAUUUCCUUUUUCCUUUUUUCUUUCUUUUAACAUGUAUCAGGUGAUUCCAAAAAUUGAGAUUUUUACAGAAUCAUUAUUUCUUUGCCUAUAUAUAUAUAUAUAUGUAUAUAUAUUUAUAUAUAUAUAUUUAUAUAUAUAUUUAUAUAUAUCUUGUGAGGUCUAUGUUUAAAAUGUUUCGUAGUGAAGGGCGACUUGGUCCUGCAUCCAGCAAUAAAUUAAAUCCAUUAUAUUUAUAUAUAUAUUUAUAUUUAUCUUGUGAGAUCUAUGUUUAAAAUGUUUCGUAGUGAAGGGCGACUUGGUCCUGCAUCCAGCAGUAAAUGAAAUCCAUUAGGAAGAGCCCCUUCACCAAGAUGUCUUAUUUCACUUUCUGUCUGUCUUCCAGCUCUGAGGAUAAAUGGGGCAUCUAUAAAUAAGCAGACGGAGCUGGUAUUCAAGACAGGCUGAACGCAGGUCUGACUCCCGCAGGAGAAUCCAGACCGUCUGGAGAUCAUCGCACGUCUCCCUCAGUCUCAUUGAGAGCUCAUCUAGAACAGGCCCAAGGCACAGGGUGAGACCUGGGAUUGACGCUGUUUGAAGUCGGGGGGUGUUACAGCGGAGCAGAAGUCGCAGCGAUGGGAAGAUACUGGGGUUCAGUGCUUGGAGGCUUUUUAUCCGGCGGACUGUAAAGAUCUGUUGGUCCGGGGCAUGAGAAAAUAACAGCUGUAGGGAGUGUGGACAAGCAGAAGUUCAAUCAAUAACUUCAAGGAAAAAAAAAAAAAUGAAUCUUUGAGGUGAGAUCUUGUGAAAUGAAAAAAAAUUAAUUCAAUGAUGAUAUGAAAAAGUAAUUGGUUGGCAUUUGGGGAAAUGCUCUAAUGUAAAACGACACAUAUAUAAUCAUCCAUAUUGUUCAGGUGAUGUUCUGAAAAGCAGCAAUCCUCUUUUCAUCUUUUGGAGCUCCACCUAUUAAAGGUAGCUUGCAUGAAAUUCAUAGACAGUCGACAGACCGCCGCUACCAGAUUCUAUCAGCCCUGAUUAGUUCUUUAUUAUUGGCUCUUUAACAUUGUCAUCAGAAAACGAUUGUCAUCAGAAACAUAAAAUCAGUGCCCUUCUGAUGGCUCCGUGUAAUCUGGCUGAAAGUCUGAGGCUGCAUGUCUCAGGUAAAACAAAAAGUCAGCAUCCUCACCAGCUCAUGACGCAUGUAGAAGUUAUGAAAAGAAAGUAUUUGAUGGAAACUAUAGAAAAACAUACAUGGGCAAACUAAACUGAGGUUAUAGUUGUGCUUCGUGGUUCAUAUGUCCAAAGAAAAGCACACCUUUUACGUUAAAGUUACAAGAGAAAAGGACGAAGACGUACUGAAAUUUGGCAACAGGUUCGACCCGGCUUGCUGGAGUGUCAAGGAGUUGAUAAAGUUGCCCAAAGCUCCGAUACAGUUGCAUCCAGGAGCAACUCACGUGCCGUGAAUGUCCUGGCCCUCGUUGGACCUCAGUGUUAAGUACUGAAACCUGCAAAAUAAGAUAAUCAGCUACCCCUAGCUCCCAAUACACUGAUUGGUCUUGGAGGCACAGGCGCAUGAAGAGGAUCCCCACGGAUUGCUUUAAUGGCUCUUCUGCUGUAUGAAAUAUGGAUGUGUUGGACUGACCGACAUCAGGUGGGCUGUUCGGAGGGAAAAAAAAAAAAACAGCUAAACGGCGGAUAAAGAGGAGAGAUUCCACCACGCCCAGCCGAGGGCUUACGGAGGAAAUAAAGAGGACACUAACUAGCCCCCAGCAUCCCGAGGAGCUGUCACAUUAAUGCAGUACACUCAGACAAAAUGUUCAGAGUACAUAAUUCCCUGGCCUCUCCAGUUUCCUGGCACUGCAGUGAGAGAGAGAAAACAAAUGUAAAGGGUUUCUUUAAAGAGCAAGCAAUCACCAAAGGGGAUUGUUUUAAAUGUGGAGUGUUGCACCAGGGGCAUCUGAUAACAGCCCUUUCAGAUCUUGAGUGUUCACAUGUUUCGCCCUGUGUGUGUGCGUGCGUGCGUGUGUGUGUGUGUGUGAGAUGAUAAGGGAUCAUAAGGGAUUUAGGCCAUUGUUUUCUAGGUUAUACCUAAAAGCCUCCUGUCUGUCUAAAACACAUUUGGAUUAUUUAAAAUAUUAGCACAAAAAUAAGUGAUCAUGUGUCUCUCUCUCUCUCUCUCUCUCUCUCUCUCUCUCUGUCUGUCUCUCUGUCAACCCCCCGAAAAUGCAAAAGAGUCCAUAUUGCCCAAAAAUAAAAAUAAAAAUGAUGUCGAUUUAAACUCAUUAACAACGAUCUUUGAAUUUUCCUGUGAAGGUAAAAAUGUCCAUUAUUUUCCCAUUACUACUGCACUGAAUAUGUCAAUCAAAAUACAUGUGUGUAUGUAUAUAUUCCCUAUUGAUUAAAUGUUGAAGACUCUCAGUGGAA